CUUCGGGUGACGAUAACGGCGUCGAGCGGCGGACGGGUGAGUAAUGCCUGGGAAAUUGCCCUGAUGUGGGGGAUAACCAUUGGAAACGAUGGCUAAUACCGCAUAAUAGCUUCGGCUCAAAGAGGGGGACCUUCGGGCCUCUCGCGUCAGGAUAUGCCCAGGUGGGAUUAGCUAGUUGGUGAGGUAAGGGCUCACCAAGGCGACGAUCCCUAGCUGGUCUGAGAGGAUGAUCAGCCACACUGGAACUGAGACACGGUCCAGACUCCUACGGGAGGCAGCAGUGGGGAAUAUUGCACAAUGGGCGCAAGCCUGAUGCAGCCAUGCCGCGUGUAUGAAGAAGGCCUUCGGGUUGUAAAGUACUUUCAGCAGUGAGGAAGGUAGUAGUGUUAAUAGCACUAUUAUUUGACGUUAGCUGCAGAAGAAGCACCGGCUAACUCCGUGCCAGCAGCCGCGGUAAUACGGAGGGUGCGAGCGUUAAUCGGAAUUACUGGGCG
rnacentral:rRNA from 1 species